rnacentral:rRNA from 1 species
UAUUUAUUGUGAGUUUGAUCCUGGCUCAGAAUGAACGCUAUCGGCACACUUUACACAUGCUAGUCUAUAUAAAAUUUAUAUGGCGUACAGGUGAGUAAUAUAUAAGAAUUUACCUUUGGAUAAGGAAUAAUCGUAUUUAUUUUUAAUAAAAUAAAGAAUACUUUUGUAUCGAUAAUUCCAUAAGAUUUAAAAAUCGUUUUAAGAUAAGCUUAUACAGGAUUAGGUAGUUGGUACGGAAAAGGCGUACCAAGCCGAAGAUCCUUAGUUGGUCUGAGAAGAUGAUCAGCCACACUGGGACUGAGACAAGGCCCAGGCUUUUUGCCAGCAGUGGGGAAUAUUGGACAAUGGGCGAAAGCCUGAUCCAGUGAUGUCGUGUGAAUGAGGACAGCAAAAAAGAUUAAUGUAAAAAUUAAUUGGUUGUAAAAUUCUUUCGUUAAUGAAUAUAAUGAAUUUAAUUAAAGAAGAAGCCCCGGCUAAUUUCGUGCCAGCAGCCGCGGUAAUACGAAAGGGGCAAGCGUUAUUCGGAAUGAUUGGGCGUAAAGAGUGCGUAGAUUGUAUUUUUAUUUUUUAAAUUAAAUUUUAAAUUUAUUUUUAAAUGUGUUUUUAAUAAAAUAAUACUUGAGGUUAGUAGAGGAAAACAGAAUUUCAUACAUAGAGGUAAAAUUCUAAAAUUUAUGAAGGAAUGCCAUUAGCGAAGGCGGUUUUCUGGGCUAAUUCUGACGUUGAGGCACGAAAGCGUAGGGAUCAAACGGGAUUAGGUACCCCGGUAGUCUACGCUGUCAAAUAUGAAUGCUAAUAUUAGAAUUUUAUAUUUCUUUUAUAAAGUUAACACGUUAAGCAUUCCGCCUGGGGAGUACGGUUUCAAGACUGGAACUCAAAGGAAUUGACGGGGGUCUACACAAGUGGUGGAGCAUGUGGUUUAAUGCGAUAAUACGCGCAAAACCUUACCAGUUUUUGUAUAAUAUUUUAUAAACAGUUUAUUUUGUUUAUUUUUCGAUACAAAUUUUUUUGUUUCUAAAUAAAAAAUAUUACAAGUGUUGCAUGGCUGUCGUCAGCUCGUGCCGUGAGGUGUUUGGUUUAAUCCUUUAACGAGCGCAACUCUUAUUUUAUAUUAGCACGUUUUUUAUAUUUAUAAAAAGCACUACUUUUAAAAUACUGCUAGUGAUAAACUAGAGGAAGGAGAGAAUGAUGUCAAGUACUUAUGGCCUUUAUAAACUGGGCUACACACGUGCUACAAUGGUAAUCACAAUUAGUUAUACAAUAAAUAUUAUUUAAAGUAAAUCUAUAAAAAUUAUCGUGUUCGGAUUGUAAACUGCAACUCGUUUACAUGAAGGUGGAAUCACAAGUAAUCGUAGAUCAGCACGCUACGGUGAAAUUGUACUUAGAUCUUGCACACACCGCCCGUCACAUGCUAGGAGAAAAUUUUUAUCAAAGCUUAUUUUUAGAAUUUGUAUCUGUUUUAAAUUUCUUUUAUGUUUUAUUAUAGAAAAUUUUUAAAGAUAAAUAAGUUAAAGAUUUUUAACUGGGAUGAAGUCGUAACAAGGUAAUUGUACGGGAACGUGCAGUUGGA